rnacentral:lncRNA from 1 species
AUUUUCUCCAUGUAAAUUAAGAAAGAUAAAGAAGCACAAGAUGACUUUUUCAAAGGAGAAAUGUUGCCAAGUAUUGGGAAACACUGAGAACCCCGACUGUAUGAGGGGAUUUGGAGUUUUUUCUCUAUGCAAAUAUGCCCGCAAUCGUUCUUUUCAAGAGAAGCACAUAAAGAGAAAAGGCCGGAAAAAAGUUGACGAACAUGAAAAAAUAGUGGCUCUUAGAGAGCCGUUAGUACAAAUCUUAUGAGCAAUGUUGUUGGGGGGAGGAGCAUCAGCACCAACAGCGACUGCGCCAAAGGUUGAAGGCCCGGAAGACGUCGAAGCAGUUGUCUUCCUCAAGCUCAAGCUUUACUUCCUCAAUUCUAUCCUUGCGAUGAGGUUAAGGUAAGUCGACGGUAAAUAUUUAAAUACUACGCACAUGAUAUUUCCAUAGACCAGCCCUCCUAACACAAAAUUUACCAUACAUGUAUCGGUUAUUAUGCCCUAAAAACUUGUAGUAAGGAUCGCCAGCUGUGACGAGCGUGUGGAAGCUGCUUGGGCCCAAUUCCACCCUCCUAUCCUAGGGGAGCAACAGAAAGU